GGGGGUGCGUGGGUUCGACAGUGGAGGUGUACUACAGAGUUGCAAGCCGAGGAUGCCGCCAGCCUCGUAAAAAAGGUGGCAAAACAUAACUGGCGAACGUGAAUUCGCUUUCGCUGCCUAAUAAUUAGGUAGUGACAUCCAACCUGACCCCACCCCGACGGGUUGGGCUUGGGU
rnacentral:tmRNA from 1 species